UUGGAGCCUUCAGUGGCAUUUUAAAUUUGCAGUUGUUAAAAGUCUGUUUCUACUUUUCCAAAAUCAGUUCUGGGUAUUGAAGCAUUUCUAUGUAUCUGCAAAAAUGGCUUAAAUUGAUCUCUAGAUACAAUUUUACAUGUUAGGAGAAAGGAAUUUUUUUUUUUUUAACUUUUAGCCCAUCAGAGAGUUUGGGGGAAGUUCUGGGGGAUUCACAAUAUUAGCCCAGUUCAAGGCUCUGAGAAGCCACGUAGUAGAGGAAACUUUAUUUGACCAAUUCAGUAUUUCUGAAAUUAUUUUAACCACAGUUUCUUCUGUAACAUUGGUUAAAUUAAACACACUUAGGAAGCUGCUUGCCUAGUAAUUUAACGUUUCACUUUUUUGUCAGAGAGUAUUUUCUCUUGAGCAGAGCAGGAAGCUCCAUAACAGUGUUGACUCAUCUCAUUGUAAUUGGCUGAAACCUCAGAAAGAGGUGUCGUGCCCCUCCCACCCCUUCCACAUUUACCUGGAUUUUUGCCACUCGCCUUUAACAGGUGGAUUUCCCUCAUGGAAUUGGGUUGAGGACUAGACCCCAGAGCUGGGGCCUGCUGGGGUGGGGCUUGAGGCAGCAAGGGCAGCAAAAAAAACAGCUGGAGCUGCGGUCCUGGACGGUUCCGGGACCCAGAGGCCAAGAGAUCCAGAGUCGGGAUAACAAGGGGGACCACCAGGAAGCAGUCCUGGCAUAGCAGGAUGUUUUUGGUCUGUUUUCCACUGCCAUUCCCUCAUUCAUUCAUUCAUUCUGUGGGCUGAUGAAGCUCGUUUUAUGUGUCAGGUGCCAUGUUGGUCACUCAUUCAUUCAUUCUGUCGGCUGAUGAAGCUCGCUUUAUGUGCCAGGUGCCAUGUUGGUCCCUCAUUCAUUCAUUCAUUCAUUCAUUCUGUGGGCUGGUGAAGCUCACUUUAUGUGCCAGGUGCCAUGUUGGUCCCUCAUUCAUUCAUUCAUUCAUUCAUUCUGUGGGCUGGUGAAGCUCACUUUAUGUGCCAGGUGCCAUGUUGGUCCCUCAUUCAUUCAUUCAUUCAUUCAUUCAUUCUGUGGGCUGGUGAAGCUCACUUUAUGUGUCAGGUGCCAUGUUGGUCCCUCAUUCAUUCAUUCAUUCAUUCUGUGGGCUGGUGAAGCUCACUUUAUGUGCCAGGUGCCAUGUUGGUCCCUCAUUCAUUCAUUCAUGCAUUCAUUCUGUGGGCUGGUGAAGCUCACUUUAUGUGCCAGGUGCCAUGUUGGUCCCUCAUUCAUUCAUUCAUUCAUUCUGUAGGCUGAUGAAGCUCAGUUUAUGUGCGAGGUGCCAUGUUGGUCCCUCAUUCAUUCAUUCAUUCAUUCUGUAGGCUGAUGAAGCUCGCUUUAUGUGCCAGGUGCCAUGUUGGUCCCUCAUUCAUUCAUUCAUUCAUUCUGUAGGCUGAUGAAGCUCACUUUAUGUGCCAGGUGCCAUGUUGGUCCCUCAUUCAUUCAUUCAUUCAUUCUGUAGGCUGAUGAAGCUCACUUUAUGUGCCAGGUGCCAUGUUGGUCCCUCAUUCAUUCAUUCAUUCAUUCUGUAGGCUGAUGAAGCUCAGUUUAUGUGCGAGGUGCCAUGUUGGUCCCUCAUUCAUUCAUUCAUUCAUUCUGUAGGCUGAUGAAGCUCGCUUUAUGUGCCAGGUGCCAUGUUGGUCCCUCAUUCAUUCAUUCAUUCAUUCUGUAGGCUGAUGAAGCUCGCUUUAUGUGCCAGGUGCCAUGUUGGUCCCUCAUUCAUUCAUUCAUUCAUUCUGUAGGCUGAUGAAGCUCACUUUAUGUGCCAGGUGCCAUGUUGGUCCCUCAUUCAUUCAUUCAUUCUGUGGGCUGGUGAAGCUCACUUUAUGUGCCAGGUGCCAUGUUGGGAGUGUUCCUCCUGGGCAUGGUACGUAGGCGUUGCCAUUGGGUCCACAAUGCGUGUCUUGUAAAAGUUCCACCCCGAUAGAAACAGGGCUCUGCUUUAGAGCAUACAGUCUGUACAAUCAGAAGUCACGUUGCUUUAGGAUGUUCCUGCUCAUGCCAGAUCCUCUGAAAGUGAUGAAAUGUUGGGAAGACAGUUUACAGUUUUCUGUUUUCUUCAGUGCCAUUGUUAGUACAAGGAAUAUAGUCCCUUUCAGUCUUCUUCAUAAUGAGUUUAGAGAAUUAAAAUAUUCCAUUUAACUUGUUUUCUUUUUUAAGUCUGUAGCUCUACAUAUUUAGAAAUUGUCUCUCCUAGGCAUUAGAAUUGGUACAGGUAUAGAUUAAUUAUAGAUCAUGUAAUAAAAAUUUGAGGAAAUGGAGAGUAAUUUUAAAAAACUUACUGAUGUGUUCUAGGUGGUUAAACUAUGUUUAUUUAACAUAUUUGAAAUUUCAUUUGUUUCCCUUAAAACAACCAAAUCGAGUUCAUUAGUCACAAAUAAGAUCUCAUACACUGCCUGUGAUUGCAGUGUUAAAAUGUAGUGUAGUUAGUGCCUUGAGUAAAGAUGAAGUUUUUUUCCACUGGUUGAGAAAUUUGCAGUUAGAAAAACAGUGCAUUCCAUUUGUGCAUGCCUGCGUACUUCAAUAAAGUAAUUCUGUCAUAGA